CUCUAAUCUCGCAUUUGAAAGGGUGGUCCUAGAAUUUCAUAGGAAACUUUGAGUUUAUAUUCAGACUGAAAAACAUAAUUGCACUUUAGCAAGGAAGCCGUGGGUAUGGUUUAGAUGAGGAAGAUAAUUUCCUGUCGAGCAAACUUAGAAGUUGUGUGUGCUAAUUGCAAAACUACUGGCCACUUGAAGAAACAGAAGCAACAAUCCCCCAAAUAACCGAGUCGCUCAAAAAAGAAGGAAUAAA
rnacentral:lncRNA from 1 species